rnacentral:misc_RNA from 1 species
UCAAACUUGGUCAUUUAGAGGAAGUAAAAGUCGUAACAAGGUUUCCGUAGGUGAACCUGCGGAAGGAUCACUAAAGUAAACGCCCUCCGGGGCUCUCUUUAUUCACACACCCCUGUGCACUUUGGCCACCUGCCGCGCUUCACUGCGUUAGUAGGUGUGUCUUUAUAAUUAUACCCAUAUACACAAGUCAUUGAAUGUAAAAUCGUUAUAAACUAAUAUAACUUUCAACAACGGAUCUCUUGGUUCUCGCAUCGAUGAAGAACGCAGC